UAAUACGGAGGGUGCAAGCGUUACUCGGAAUCACUGGGCGUAAAGAGAAUGUAGGCGGGUAAUUAAGUCAGAUGUGAAAGCCAAUAGCUCAACUAUUGAACUGCAUUUGAAACUGAAUACCUAGAAUAUGGGAGAGGUAGAUGGAAUUUCUGGUGUAGGGGUAAAAUCCGUAGAGAUCAGAAGGAAUACCGAUUGCGAAGGCGAUCUACUGGAACAUUAUUGACGCUGAGAUUCGAAAGCAUGGGGAGCAAACAGGAUUAGAUACCCUGGUAGUCCAUGCCCUAAACGAUGCACACUAGUUGUUGCCUUGCUCGACAAGGCAGUAAUGCAGUUAACACAUUAAGUGUGCCGCCUGGGGAGUACGGUCGCAAGAUUA
rnacentral:rRNA from 1 species